UACGGGGGGGGCAAGCGUUUGUUCGGAAUUACUGGGCGUAAAGGGCUCGUAGGUGGCCAACUAAGUCAGACGUGAAAUCCCUCAGCUUAACUGGGGAACUGCGUCUGAUACUGGAUGGCUUGAGUUUGGGAGAGGGAUGCGGAAUUCCAGGUGUAGCGGUGAAAAUGCGUAGAUAUCUGGAGGAACACCGGUGGCGAAGGCGGCAUCCUGGACCAACACUGACACUG
rnacentral:rRNA from 1 species